rnacentral:rRNA from 1 species
UAAGGAAUAUUGGUCAAUGGGCGCAAGCCUGAACCAGCCAUGCCGCGUGCAGGAAGACGGCCCUAUGGGUUGUAAACUGCUUUUGUCAGGGAAUAAACCUAUCUACGUGUAGAUAGCUGAAGGUACCUGAAGAAUAAGCAUCGGCUAACUCCGUGCCAGCAGCCGCGGUAAUACGGAGGAUGCAAGCGUUAUCCGGAUUCAUUGGGUUUAAAGGGUGCGCAGGCUGAUUAUUAAGUCAGGGGUGAAAUCUCUCGGCUCAACCGAGAAACUGCCUUUGAUACUGAUAGUCUAGAGUAUAGUUGAAGUUGGCGGAAUGUGUCAUGUAGCGGUGAAAUGCUUAGAUAUGACACAGAACACCGAUCGCGAAGGCAGCUAGCUAAGCUAUAACUGACGCUCAUGCACGAAAGCGUGGGGAUCAAACAGGAUUAGAUACCCUGGUAGUCCACGCUGUAAACGAUGAUUACUCGAUGUUGGCGAUACACAGUCAGCGUCUAAGCGAAAGCAAUAAGUAAUCCACCUGGGGAGUACGAUCGCAAGAUUG